AGUUAGCGGCCCUGACCCUUGGGACUCAAGGUGGGACUGUUGGGGAAGGGUCUUGACAAGACGGUCAGCUUUGCCAUGGCAGCGGGAGACAGCAGGGAGCCCUUUCCGGAGUCCUGGUGAGGGUGACAGUGGCCACGCUGGGGUAGCAAAGCUGACAGAACGUAGGUUGGGCGCUGCCGGCGGGUGAUUCUGACUGAGAAGGAAGCCAGCGCUGGAGACCCAGGAGCCUCAGAGAGACCCGUUUGUGAUGACACCAGGACCCAGUCUUGCCUGAACCCCGUCUAUCUUAGACUUCCUAGUCACGUGAGCCAAUAAACAUUGUUCUCCCUCAAAGACAGUUGGCUUUCCGUCACUUGUGACUGCAAGAGCUCUGGUGGCAGGGACCACGAAUGGGAAGCGGUUUCCAGCGGCCCGGGAGCGGAAGCAGUCUUCCUGGCAGCCAGCUGGGCCCAGUCCCGGCAAGCUGGACACCGGGGUCUGCAGAGCCGAGGGCAUGCCAUGCAGGUGUGACGCAUGUAGGUGGGAGAGGAAGACGCCUUUGGAACUGGUGGCUGGGCCACGGCUGGAGAUGAGCUUCUGAACUGAGAAGGUUCCAGAGCGGAGAGGCUGGGAACGACUGGAGAAGGCAAGAAGCCCAGGACGCUGGGAGCAGCCUUCCAGGCAAAAGACUUAAGGAGGCCCAGGCAGGUGUCCACCAACAGACAUACAGGAAUGUUUGUAGCUCCCGGCCAAGACAACCCACAGGCCCAGCAGCAAGAGUGUGACUAAGGAAAUGAUGGAAUAUUGGGCAAUAGAAGAGCCACAGAAAAGCCCUAACCACCAUCACACGCAACAGCAUGGGCCGAUCGCGUGGACGUUCUGUUGAGCCAAAGAAGCCAAACACAGGAUUCCAUGUGAUGAUCGUUCAUUUAAAUGACGUUCCGGGGCAGACAGUGGGAUUCAGCGUGAUGCUACCAUUUGGGGGGAGGAGAGGGGCUGGGAGGGGGUGCAAAGCAGCCCUCUGGAAAUGUUUCACUGCUCGAACUGGGUGGUGUUUGUAUGUAAAAGUACAUUAAAGCCACACAUUUCAGAUGUGUGUUUGUAGGA